AACGAACGCUGGCGGCAGGCUUAACACAUGCAAGUUGAACGGGAUUUGUGGGGUGCUUGCACCAUAUAAUGAGAGUAGCGCACUGGUGAGUAACACGUGGGAACAUACCUUAAAGAGUGGAAUAACCAUUGGAAACGAUGGAUAAUACCGCAUACGCCCUGAGGGGGAAAGAUUUAUCGCUUUAAGAUUGGCCCGCGGAAGAUUAGGUAGUUGGUGGGGUAAAUGCCUACCAAGCCUACGAUCUAUAGCUCGUCUGAGAGGACGAUCAGCCACACUGGAACUGAGACACGGGCCAGACUCCUACGGGAGGCAGCAGUGGGGAAUUUUGGACAAUGGACGCAAGUCUGAUCCAGCCAUGCCGCGUGCGGGAAGAAGGCCUUCGGGUUGUAAACCGCUUUUGUCAGGGAAGAAAUCUUCUGGGUUAAUACCUCGGGAGGAUGACGGUACCUGAAGAAUAAGCACCGGCUAACUACGUGCCAGCAGCCGCGGUAA
rnacentral:rRNA from 1 species